rnacentral:rRNA from 1 species
UGGCGGACGGGUGAGUAAUGUCUGGGGAACUGCCUGAUGGAGGGGGAUAACUACUGGAAACGGUAGCUAAUACCGCAUAACGUCGCAAGACCAAANAGGGGGACCUUCGGGCCUCUUGCCAUCGGAUGUGCCCAGAUGGGAUUAGCUAGUAGGUGGGGUAACGGCUCACCUAGGCGACGAUCCCUAGCUGGUCUGAGAGGAUGACCAGCCACACUGGAACUGAGACACGGUCCAGACUCCUACGGGAGGCAGCAUG